ACGGCUCAGUAACACGUGGAUAACCUGCCCUUAGGUCUGGGAUACUCCUGGGAAACUGGGCAUAAUCCCGGAUAAGCCACAGAUGCUGGAAUGCGCUGUGGUUCAAAGCUCCGGCGCCUAAGGAUGGGUCUGCGGCCUAUCAGGGUAGUAGUGGGUGUAACGUACCUACUAGCCGACGACGGGUACGGGUUGUGAGAGCAAGAGCCCGGAGAUGGAUUCUGAGACACGAAUCCAGGCCCUACGGGGUGCAGCAGGCGCGAAAACUUUACAAUGCGGGAAACCGCGAUAAGGGAACCUCGAGUGCCAUCAUACAAUGUUGGCUGUCCAGGUGCCUAAAAAGCAUUUGUUAGCAAGGGCCGGGCAAGACCGGUGCCAGCCGCCGCGGUAACACCGGCGGCUCGAGUGGUAACCGCUAUUAUUGGGUCUAAAGGGUCUGUAGCCGGCCGAAUAAGUCCCUUGGGAAAUCUGGCAGCUUAACUGUCAGGCCUUCAGGGGAUACUGUUUGGCUUGGGACCGGGAGAGGUGAGAGGUACUACAGGGGUAGGAGUGAAAUCUUGUAAUCCCUGUGGGACCACCAGUGGCGAAGGCUGUUGACUAGAACGCGCUCGACGGUGAGGGACGAAAGCUGGGGGAGCGAACCGGAUUAGAUACCCGGGUAGUCCCAGCUGUAAACGAUGCGAGCUAGGUGUUGGGAUGGCUACGUGCCAUUUCAGUGCCGCAGGGAAGCCAUUAAGCUCGCCGCCUGGGGAGUACGGCCGCAAGGCUGAAACUUAAAGGAAUUGGCGGGGGAGCAC
rnacentral:rRNA from 1 species